rnacentral:rRNA from 2 species
UCCGUAGGUGAACCUGCGGAAGGAUCAUUAACGAGUUUUGAAACGGGUUGUUGCUGGCCUUCCGAGGCAUGUGCACGCCCUGCUCAUCCACUCUACACCUGUGCACUUACUGUAGGUUGGCGUGGGUUUCUAGCCUCCGGGUUGGAAGCAUUCUGCCGGCCUAUGUACACUACAAACUCUUAAAGUAUCAGAAUGUAAACGCGUCUAACGCAUCUUAAUACAACUUUCAGCAACGGAUCUCUUGGCUCUCGCAUCGAUGAAGAACGCAGCGAAAUGCGAUAAGUAAUGUGAAUUGCAGAAUUCAGUGAAUCAUCGAAUCUUUGAACGCACCUUGCGCUCCUUGGUAUUCCGAGGAGCAUGCCUGUUUGAGUGUCAUGAAAUUCUCAACCCAUAAAUCCUUGUGAUCUAUGGGCUUGGAUUUGGAGGCUUGCUGGCCCUAGCGGUCGGCUCCUCUUGAAUGCAUUAGCUUGAUUCCGUGCGGAUCGGCUCUCAGUGUGAUAAUUGUCUACGCUGUGACCGUGAAGCGUUUUGGCAAGCUUCUAACCGUCCAUUAGGACAAUUUUAUAACAUCUGACCUCAAAUCAGGUAGGACUACCCGCUGAACUUAAGCAUAUCAAUAAGCGGAGGA